rnacentral:snoRNA from 1 species
CAAUGAUGAGACACCAGCUGGCACCAGUCUGAGAAGACUUGUACUCUUUACAUGCGGAUCAGCAUCAUGGCAAUUAGCCUACAGUCUGAA